UGCCAAGAUUCAGUCUUCAUGCCUGUUCAAGCUGUGUUUCAGAAUCGCCUUUUCCCAGCAUCGGGUUCACAGAUUUGCAAUCCUUCUGGUGGUGGCACCUCAGCUGCCAUGCACAAGCGGAAGGUAGUUCAUCCAAGAUGCUCUAGCAGC